AGGGGAUGGCUCUCUCUCUUAGAGAGGACCCUCAAGGGAUCCCUCCUUUUCAAAUCCUGUGGAGGAUCUUUACUUGCUUCCUUCUCAAAAAGACAAAGGAAUUAUAGGUAAUAUGCAUGGAUUUCUAGAAGAAGAUGAUGAAGGGGUAGAUCUAGGCUAGUAGGUUUUCUUGGCAUUAGAUCUAGACAGGAAAGAUACUUACGGUAGCUAAGAGGGGAGC
rnacentral:lncRNA from 1 species